AUGGUGUUCGUCUUUCAGAACAAGGGUCGUUUCACGACCCCUCGAGCGCGUUUGAUCCCUCAUACAGAUAACAGGGAUUUCCCCAGACGGGGACGAUUUAUGAGGGACGAUUAUUUUGUCGAGCGAUCUCGUGACUUCCCAUACGAGGUCAUCAGACACGAGGAAUCACUCACGGGUUACAGUAACAGAGUACAGAAUGAAACUCGAUCGGAGAAUAGUGUAAAUCCGUUCCGUCGUCGGUCACGUGAUCGACGCCCUUUAAAUCGGGGAUUUAAACCCAAACAAAAGAGAGUGACUUUUGGGGAAAAUAGGAUUAUUUACCCCACUGAAGAGAACAGAUUUACUGACCAGAGAUACAGAAACACACAAUAUUCUCCUCGUAAUGUAGAAAAGAACAGGAGACGUGAGAAUGGCCAGUUUGCACAAAAAUAUAUUCACCAGAAAAAAAGAAUGGGCCAAAAAACUCACUUUGAUUCACAGAAAAAAUCAGAAUACUCUCCUGCUUCUCCCACUUUUCGGAGAAUUAUUAAGAAUAUGUAUCAUCUGAUCAGAUCUGUCCAUCACCUCAGUAAUAUUGACACACGGAUAGAAGAUAACCAGCCUGUCACUCUUAAAAGGUUGACGGAGCUUCUGAAAAGUGUGAUCAAACCCUUUGCCCCCACAAUGUCCACAAAAGAAUUGCUGGAGGGUAAUGCAAAGAACUGGGCGUUUACGACACAGUUGGUGUUACAGCAACACUAUGAGGAUAUCAUAGAGCACACACUGGGGAUCUUACGGGGAGAGACACAGAGAAAAGACUGGUUACACGCUUUUGAGAUCGCUGUCAAAUGGGCGAUGCGAAAUUUUGGCAAAAGGAUCUCCCAGAGGGCAAUUCAGCAGGCCGAAACUUUGGUCCUGACCGAAUUGCGUUCUGGGACUCCAUCCGGGUCUAAAGUACCAUCGAAUUCUGAAACCAGUAGCAACAGAACAUUUGCUCAGGUGGUUAGUGGUGUAGAUCUAGCCUCGGCUCAGCAGGGGACAGAAACGGUCAACACAGGGGUUGUUAGACCUAAGACAGGGGUCACACACAUCCAGAUACAAACAUCGCCCACUUUAAUGUCAGGCUGGUCUCCUAUGAGGAACGACUGGCUUCUGGGAGAUGAUUUUCCACCUCUGAACCCUCCUGUACAGGCCCCUAUACAGUCUCCUAAGGGGAAAAGAACAGAAAAGAAAAAACACCUGACAGAACAGAGACCAAAAACUCCACCAGCCUUUACAGAACAAGCUGAGAAAAAUCUCUUAGUGAGUUUUGACGAUGAUGAUGAGGAGGAGGAGGAGGAUCAGUUAACUCCUGCACAGGGAGACAGACUGGAUGAUUUAGAUGAGAUUACGGGUCCUCUGUCACAGGAACUUUUCUCUCCUUUUGCCCCCUCUGAGGCUGAGGCCCCGAUAACCACAGGCCAGCCUUCUCUGGUCCCCAUUGUAGCCAGUACAGUACAUACAGUAAAUACUCUAAUGGACACAGCUGAGAGUGCCCAGAUCUUCCAAAAUCCGUCAGGGUCACCAAAUCUCUCAGACUUUGAUUUCUCAGAAUAUUCUGUGACAUCUCUUCAACCAGGGGCUCCUCAGGAGACAGAGAGGGGGGAAACUUCCAAAAAAAUGGAAAAAAUUAUCUCUGAAACAGAAAAAAAUAGACAAGCAGAGAAAAUUAGUAAAACAGUUGAAACCUCUGUAGCCGACCUUCAAGGUCAAAGGGCACUACAUAAGCCGUACACGCACCUUAGAACUAACAAGAAGUUCAACGAGUGGAAACUGGCACUCAAAAAGAAACACGUGGUCAUCGGGGACUCUAAUUUGAGCAGGAUUCCUGCUUUUGACAUUCCAGAUUUACAGAUUGACAGUUUUCCAGGGGCUAAAUUACAGCACGCUGCCAAUCUGAUAGAGAAAGCUACAGUAGACACAAAAGUAGAAAAAAUAGUCUUGGCAUUCGGCCUGAAUAACCGCACACAAAGAUUACGCAUCUCAGCGAUGAGAGAGUGUGCCAGAUUGAGUCAGGUGACACAAGAGAGACUGCCAGAGGCCCAACUGUGGAUCCCCCUGAUCAAUAUCCCUCAAUCUCUCCCAGAAGGAGAAAAAAUAUUUUUAGAUGAAUUGAACAAUUACAUAGAGGAAAAUUAUUCCUUCAUCCCCCUCCUGCCAGAGGAACAGUUUCAGGUAGAGAGUGACGGCCUGCACUGGACUGCAGAGACAGCCAGGAACAUGUUGGAACACUGGGCACGAUAUUUAAACUUGUAG
rnacentral:lncRNA from 12 species